rnacentral:rRNA from 1 species
GAUGAACGCUGGCGGCGUGCCUAAUACAUGCAAGUCGAGCGAACAGACGAGGAGCUUGCUCCUCUGACGUUAGCGGCGGACGGGUGAGUAACACGUGGAUAAUCUACCUAUAAGACUGGGAUAACUUCGGGAAACCGGAGCUAAUACCGGAUAAUAUAUUGAACCGCAUGGUUCAAUAGUGAAAGACGGCUUUGCUGUCACUUAUAGAUGGAUCCGCGCCGCAUUAGCUAGUUGGUAAGGUAACGGCCUACCAAGGCAACGAUGCGUAGCCGACCUGAGAGGGUGAUCGGCCGCACUGGAACGGAGACACGGUCCAGACGCCUACGGGAGGCAGCAGUAGGGAAUCUGCCGCAAUAGGCGAGAGCCUUGCGGAGCAACGCCGCGUGUGUUGUGAAAAUCUUCGGAGCGUAAAACUCUGUUAUUAGGGAUAAACAAAUGUGGAAGGAACUGUACACUUCUUGACGGUACCUAAUCAGAAAGCCACGGCUAACUACGUG